UAAUUUAUUUGUGUAUUAUACAAAUUUAUUCUACUAUUAGUAUGUAACUUUGUAUAAUCAUGUCUCUAUAAUAAAAACAUGAAAUAAUUAAUUAUUACUUAAUUUUAAGAUUUUAAGCUUAUUUAAAAAAAAAAAAGUAAAAUUAUCUGUGGAUUCAAUGGUCAUCUAAAAUAACAGAUCAAUAAAAUAAUAAAAAUUUGACAUUCAAAAUUGAACAAUAACAAAACAGUAUAAGUAAUGAAAUACUCGUAAUAUGCACACAGUUUCAUAAAUAUGAAUAUUUUAAUUUUAAUUUCACAGGAACAUGUUACAUAAGUGCCUACUUGAUAUUUAAAAAAAUAUUCUACUCAAAUAAUUUACUAAAAAAGUUUUUAAUGGUUUAAAUCAAAAAUAUUAUGAUUUUAUUCGAGUAUAAUUACUAUUAGGGAACGGAUUGAAAUGCUUUAAAAACAAGAAAAAUGCCUUAAAAACACGAUUUAAUGCUUUCUUAAUAGAAAUAGUUUUUAAAAAAUGCUCAUAAAAUUAUUUUUAACAUUGAAAAAGUUUAUUUGAUUAUAUACAUUUUUAUUCUUAAGUAUUAAUUAUUCGUAUUAUUUUCAUCAUCUUCUAGUGUUCCUAUCUUCUUUUUACUCUGAAAAUUAUUUCCAAAAAAUUAAUAUACAAUUUAGAUAGAUACAUUCGUUAUACUUUUACCUUAUGUUUUAUAAUAGCACUGUAUAAUAUCAGGUGCUGCUAAAUUUUUAUCGAAUUUUAUCAAUUCCUAUAUAAAAAUGACUUAAAAAUAUAAAAAAAUGCACUAUAAAUGUCAAAAAAGUUACAUUUUUUAAUUCCUUGAUGUAUGAAAUGAACUUUGUGCUUGGAAAGUUACGUUUUCGGACAUUCAGAUAAAAUGCAUUUUUCAUUUAAUUCCGUUCCCUAAUAAUUAUACAUACAUACAUACAUAUAUAUUAUAUGUAUUUUAAAAAAUAUUAAAUGUAUAAUUUAUAGUAAUUUUAUUAUAAUAAGCCUAGAUACUACAGGGGAUAGUGUAUAACUGUAUAAGUAAUAUCGUUAAUUUUUUAAAUUGCAAUAGGUAUUCAUACAUUUUCAAGUAAGUACAUAACUGUGAGUUAAAUGUUAAUUUAUGCAGUAUUGUGUCAGACGCAUCGCUGAAAUCCAUCGAAUUUUGUAUAUUAUGUAUAGAAACUCCUAAGCUCGUAGUUCCUUAUAUUAAUUAACGACGAAUACACCUCGUCUAAUAACGAAGUAUGUUUGAUCGUCACUGUUGUGUGUUCUGCGGUUGGCAGAAUCCGAUGCUUAACGAUUGCUGCGUUUCGUUGUAAGUUAUGCAAAGUUCCUGUUCAGAUUUGUUAAUUAGACAUUCGUGUGGUAUUAAACUGACGAAUGCCGUGAGAUGAUUAACCCCAUCUCGAAAGCAACUUUUACAUGUAUUGUUUGCUCCAGGUAAAGUCGGAUAUUAUGUUAUAUAUAGAUAUGAGAUUCAUCCCUAUAGCUGCAGCUUCAAUGGCCAUUUUAUAAAAUCGUUUUAUUUAUUUCAAUUUCAUAUUUUAUGUUUUUAUUUUUAUAUUACUAAACUAACAUUAUUCAUAUCAUUGCAGUACACAUACUAUUAUGACUUAUUGGUUUUUAUUAAUAACACUCUUAUAGUAAUUAUUGAUAGUGUGAUAAUUGUAUGUAAUAGAUAAUUUUAAUAAUUGCAGAUUAAUGAUUUAGUUGCAAUCCUUUUAUUUUAUUUUUUUCAAUCAUGUUUAUUCCUAAUAUUAAUCCAAUAAAAUUUGUGCUUUGUCUUAAGUAUAGUUGUAUAAUAUAAGACUAUAACACGGAAAUAAAAUUCAAUCUACAAUAACGAUACGAAUAUACAAUGGCCCUUCAAAAUUAUAGAAAAUUAAUAAAAUACGUUUUCAACAGAUUAUAUUACAUGUUAUAUUAAGGCCUUUUCAUCUAUAAACUGUAACCACGUAUCUAUCAUGUUUUCACCUAUGUACCAAACAAAAAAGGCAGCUGCUGCAAAAUAAUCAGUUUAUAUAUAAAUAUAUAAUACACGAGUUGAUAUAGAUAUAAGUAAUUUUAUUUUCUACUUACAUCGAACACGAUAAACCUAAAUAAUGUAAAUAUAAAAUAUAUUAAUAGAUUAAUAGAUUUUUGUUUGAUUAUUUUUAUUUAACAUCAUGGAGUCAAUAACAGUUGGAAGAGUUUUUUUUUAAUGAAACGAAAAUACAAAAAUAUUUUAAGAAACACAUUUUUGUAAUCAAUUUAAAUUUUAAAUAUUUUUUUUUUAUUUGUUAUUUUAUUACUAAGCUAUGUAUACAUUAUAUAAUAAACUUGUUUAAUUUUGAGAGAUUUGUGUCGUAUAG